UGGGGAAUAUUGCACAAUGGGCGCAAGCCUGAUGCAGCCAUGCCGCGUGUAUGAAGAAGGCCUUCGGGUUGUAAAGUACUUUCAGUCGGGAGGAAGGUGGUAAGGUUAAUAACCUUAUCAAUUGACGUUACCGACAGAAGAAGCACCGGCUAACUCCGUGCCAGCAGCCGCGGUAAUACGGAGGGUGCAAGCGUUAAUCGGAAUUACUGGGCGUAAAGCGCACGCAGGCGGUUUGUUAAGUCAGAUGUGAAAUCCCCGGGCUCAACCUGGGAACUGCAUCGGAGACUGGCAAGCUGGAGUCUCGUAGAGGGGGGUAGAAUUCCAGGUGUAGCGGUGAAAUGCGUAGAGAUCUGGAGGAAUACCGGUGGCGAAGGCGGCCCCCUGGACGAAGACUGACGCUCAGGUGCGAAAGCGUGGGGAGCAAACAGG
rnacentral:rRNA from 1 species